rnacentral:rRNA from 1 species
UGCGUAGGUGGUUUUUUAAGUCAGAUGUGAAAGCCCUGGGCUUAACCUAGGAAUUGCAUUUGAUACUGAAUAACUUGAGUAUGGUAGAGGGAAGUGGAAUUUCCAGUGUAGCGGUGAAAUGCGUAGAUAUUGGAAGGAACAUCAGUGGCGAAGGCGACUUCCUGGACCAUUACUGACACUGAGGUACGAAAGCGUGGGGAGCAAACA